CCUACGGGAGGCAGCAGUGAGGAAUAUUGGUCAAUGGACGCAAGUCUGAACCAGCCAAGCCGCGUGCAGGAUGACGGCCCUAUGAGUUGUAAACUGCUUUUGUACGAGGGUAAACCCCGAUACGUGUAUCGGGUUGAAAGUACCGUAUGAAUAAGGAUCGGCUAACUCCGUGCCAGCAGCCGCGGUAAUACGGAGGAUCCGAGCGUUAUCCGGAUUUAUUGGGUUUAAAGGGUGCGUAGGCGGGUUGAUAAGUUAGAGGUGAAAUGUCGGGGCUCAACCCCAAAACUGCAUCUGAUACUGUUGGACUUGAGAAUAGUUGCGGUAGGCGGAAUGUAUGGUGUAGCGGUGAAAUGCUUAGAGAUCAUGCAGAACACCGAUUGCGAAGGCAGCUUACCAAACUAUAUCUGACGUUGAGGCACGAAAGCGUGGGUAGCAAACAGGAUUAGAUACCCGGGUAGUC
rnacentral:rRNA from 1 species